AUUCUAUGAUGGGGACAUUCUAGGAUGUAGUCUUGGAAGCACUCCCAUGCUUCUGGAACAGAUUCAUCAUGUUGUUGCUGAAAACUUGUAAUCUUCCCACAGAGAGC
rnacentral:snoRNA from 1 species